rnacentral:lncRNA from 1 species
UGCUCUCUUCUCUGCAAAAAAUCUCCGCCCCAAACCCUAGCAGCCCUUUCAUCUUUCUCUCUCUCUCUACUAAAAAGUACCCCUUUUAGAGGUAAGUCUCUCCCGCUCUCUUCUUCUCUGUGAAACUCUCUGCCCCAAAUACUAAGUUACAAAAGUUGCUGAUGUCGUUUUUUCUCAUGCCAAAUCGGAAGAUAUUGGACCCCAGCUCUUGUGAAUAUCCUGGUUUGGACUCUUGCUCUCUUUCUCAGAUUUGGGGAUUUUGAUCCAUUGCCAUAUUUUUGCAUUACAAGGUUUGAAUUUUUUCUAUCAAGUAAUAAUUGGGUUUUUGGAUUUGGUUUUUCUCACUCUAUCUGGUAAUUAGGUUUUGGUUCCAUUCACAUCCAUUAUAUCUCUAGAUUGCUUUUGUAAUACUCUUUUCCUAAACCAAAACAUGUAUUCGGCUCUACCAUAUCCCUUUCCAUUCUUAUUGGAAGUCAUUUUCAACUGUUUCAAGGUCCUUUGAUUUUUUAUCUUUUGCAAAUAUGAGCUUUAAAUGGAGCUUUGCUAGCAAAAAUAAUAAUGAGAUUAAAAACUUCACAAAAGCACAUAAAGGUUACCAAACCAUCUCAAAAAAUACUAAUGUGGUCAAAUCAACAAAUUUAUCAUCAUAAUAGUUAGUUUAAUAAAACCAUUUCACUUGAGUACCGCCUCAAAAUUGCUCAGCAUGACUCUAUCUUUGAUUUAGAAUCCUAAACACAUAUAGAUGUUGGUAAUUUGGCAAUGAUAUAAGUGGCCAAAAUUACUAAACUACUGUUUUGAGAUUCCUGACCCCAAAUAAUAGAUUUUAAUGAAAACAUAUAUAUUUUGGACUUUUGACUUCAUUUGUAUCAGGUUGCUUAAGUUGAACCAAGUGAUAUAAAUACCCUUUGUUCUGCGCUCUAUACCUGGAACAAGAGAUUUUAAUGAUAAACCUCAUAACCCAAAACAAGGAAGUGUGUUUUACUUAUCUUGACAAGGGAAAAUUAACUGGAUCCAGGAGUAAUUCUGACCUCCUUAUAUAGAAGAUAAAUGAUACAUAUCAUACAAUCCCAAUACUAAAAUACUUUUAUUUGUUCAAGAUUACAAACUCAAAAUAAAGGCAUCUUCCUUGGACAUUUUCAACAAAUACCUAAAGCGGUAUUUAGGUGAAAUGAUCUUUUCAAAUCCAGCACCAUGUUGAUAAGCUGAUUUGUUUGAUUACCUCAAUGAUAAAAUUUUAAAUGAUUUGACCAUUUUAACGAUAUAUUCCCCUAAAAAAUUCCAAAUUAUACUCAUUCAAACCAAAUUGAGAUUCACGCUUACUUGGUGAAGUGCAUUAUUUGCAUGAAAAACUUACCCAAAGGAAAUGGUUGAAAAACCCCUGACUUACCACAAAGCUGCCCUCUACCUCCAAUGAUGCCUACCUCAAAAUUUUGCAUUCAACAGUGUCACCCCUUGUUUUCUCAGUCUUUGACAUUUAGCAGUUGAAUUUGAGUUUGAAUCAAAAUGAAGCCAUGUCCUUUUGUUUUCAUCAUGCUCCUUAUUAGCAUCGGUAAGUAUCAUUGUUCUUCCUUUUUAUACUUUGCUCUCGGCCCUACGUUGUAGAGAUAGACUUCUCUUUUUUCUUUUGUCAAAAGAUUCAAUGGGGAGCAUUUUCAACAUUCAGUCCCUCGGGUAAAACUCAAUGCAGUAAUAUUUUUUUGGGAAAGGCUUUUAUGCUUCCCCCAUAGCAUGGAAGUUUUAUCCUCCCCCUACCAUCCAGCCGUCCAAUUUUGAUCAAGAGUGUCACUCACCAUUUGAACUUAGAUCCGACGUCUCAAUAUUUUAUUUUUAUUUUUUUUAUACAAAUUAUAUAAAUAUAAAAUUUGGUAUGUCCUAUCUUCUCAUUGGGGAGCACCUAGAAAAAAUAUUAAAAAUAAUUUUUGAUAAAAUAUAAUGACCAAAAUACCCCUUAAAAAUUUCAGUAGUAUUUUGGUCAUUUUAUUUUAUUGAAAAUAUUUUUUUUAUAUUUUUGUCUAGUGCAAGCUUAAUAGAGGAAUGGACAUCCAAAAUUUGGUGUCAAAAUAAUUUAUAGAAAAUACUUAAAAAUAAAAUAGUGUAGAGAAGUGACAUUGUGAUUGGGACAAUCUUAGCCCUUCAUUCAGAAUGGACGGUUGGAUAAGGGGGAGGAUAGAACUUCUAUGUUGUAGGGGAAGCAUAGAAAUCUUGCCCUAUUUUUUUAUCAAUAAAUGUUGGGGACACAACAUUUGUAAUGGUUGGCUAUAGAUUUUAAAAAAAAAAAAAGAAAAAAAAAGAAAAAAAAAAAAGAAAUAUCAAAUGCAUUUUGUAUGUGCCAGAAAAUAUAAUGUCCUAAUAUUGCAUAGAGAUCGAUAAUUUUUAGAAGGUCAGAUCUAAACUUGGGAACUUAAAUCUGAUUAUUAUCAUUUUAGUAUAAUCAUCUAGUUAUUUUUAGGUGGAUUCUAAAAUUUUAGAUCGGAAAAAUUCUCCUUAGUAGCUCUUUUGCCUAAAAGAGUGAGUGUACAAUAUACGCUUACUGGCUCUUUUUCUAAACAUCGAGAUAGAGAGACUCUCCUUUGCACUUUUUACACUCUUUAGAGAGAGAUACUUUGUUUUCCAUUUGUUAUGUUGUCUUGGCCUGAGCGGGGCCAAGCCAACCAAAGCAUCACAAUAUCAUGGGAAUAUGAACUAGUUAAUAUUUCACCUAUUUUUAUUAAAUUCCAACAAGCUCACAUGGUCAUAAGUUAAAGUAGUUGAUUUUUUAGGUGUUUUGUUAUAAAUAGGUGAAAUGUUAGAUAGUCGAAAUUUUAGAUGAGUUUCGAUAAAUUUUCUUACCUAUGUAUUAUAUGUAUAAAUUUCAAUUAUAGAGAAGAUCUACAUACACAGACCCUAUUUUGGUCCUGGCCAAGGCCUGUCCCUAGGGCCACAUUUUGUGGCCCAAGCCCUAAAUUUUUAGGGCCUGGCCGACCGACCCGCCCAGCCCAUUGCCCCCCCUUAUUUACAUAUCACUUAAAGAUUGGUCCAGCACUACGAUGAAAUUCAAGAAACUUUUGGCAUAAAUUUUUGCACUAGUUUUCAUGAAACUAGUUUCAUAUUUUUACCCUUGCCUUUCAUUUUAUGCAAUUCCUGUAUCAGCUUAUGAGAAAAUAGCCAAAUGGGCAGAAAUCACCAAAAACAAAAAAAUAAAGUUUCUCCAAAAUCCAAAUUCAUGCGAAUGUUCUUGAUUUCGGCUUCUUUCUCUUAGAAGUGUAGAUCAAGAGAUAGAAAGGUACUAGAGCAACUUACAGUAGAUGACAGAUAGAGAGGUACCAAACCAAUUUCCAAUGAAAACAGUGAUUCUAACUACUAUAGUAAAAGGCACAGCCCGAGCCUGGUCCACCAUGGCCUAAUCAUAUCCACAUUUGAGUGAUAUAUAUCGAACCGAACCAAGUGGCAGCAUUGAAAAACAAUUUGAGCCAAGCUUGGGCUAAGUGUAGUCAGGCAAGCUCGGCACUGGCUGAGUCUAAAGAGACUGAGCCCAGCCUAUUGGCAGCCCUAAUCAUACCUGCAAUAUAUUUUUGUUUCAACUAUGUCUGUAAUUUUCUUAGGCAUUUGAUAAAUGCAGGAGAUGUAGCAGUGAUGAUAGAGGGAGAUGAGGUUGAUGAGAAUUGUUCAACGUCCAUAUCAAAUCGAUUCAUCGUUUGCAUCGGUUCAUAUUGUAGAAAGGAUUGUCAGACUCUUUAUCCCCAAGCACAUGGAGAAUGCACCGGAUUCUUUGAUUGCACCUGCACUUCCUUUUGUCGGGGUGGUCCGCACUGAUUUGGCUUGCAGCAGGCUGCCCUCUCACUCUCUCUCAGCUCUGUCGAUUUGUAUCGGUGUCUUGUUUGAUAUGGAUUCCAUUAUCUCUCUCUCUAUCUCUCUCUGAGUUCCGUCGAUUUGUAUUGGUAGUAAUCAGAUGUGAACUUUUUGCUACGGGUCUUCUUACAAGUCUUUUGAAAGGGGCACCUCUCUGAUCGGCUUCAUAUCAAUGUUCGCAAAAAUUGAAUCCCGGUAAAUGGGCCGGUUCAGACGGCUUAGCCGUGCAGGUCCCGGCUGGUCCAAUUAUUGGUCAAGAAAUACUAAUAAUAUAUUUAAAGCAUGAUUACACAAGGUGCAUUCAAAUGAAGUUGAAGAUUACUGAAAAAAUUGAUUUGUGGCCAGGGGUAUUUUUAAAAUUGGACUAGCCAAUUCCAAGUUGAACCGGUCGAGUUUGCGAACACAGCUUCAUAUAAUGUCUCUCCCAUCCAUCGUCUUGUACAUACAAUACCUUAUCUCUCUUCACCCACAAGGUCCACUCUCUUUUCUCCACCUCAUCCUUUUUAGUUUAUGUGUAAAAGAUGUUGGGCUUAUGUGGUCGGUAAAG